CACCACCCAAUGCAGUGUGGCUUAGCUGCGUCGGGAACCAACAAAUGAAGCUGAUCAAAGGCUCAAAGGAGAACCGAACCAUAUUCGGAGUGCUCAAUGGUUUCUUCUGAAAUACCACAGAUGGGAGUUGUCAUGGGACAGAGAAGAGAACUGGUAACUUUUCUUCUGUUAAGAUUAUACAAGGUAGAUUCCACAUGAAAUGUUUUAUUUUCCGUAGAGUUUGUAGCUUCCAUAACUGUUUGUGCCAAUUAGUAUCCAUUAAGUAAUCUCAAUGGUUGGGAUGUUGUUGACUUGUUGUGUUCAUGAAUCGAUAGCCUCCAUGUUUUAGUGUAGGGCCCUGAUCUGGUUGAUGUCAUGAGGUUGCAGGAGGUGGAGAAUACUGUCAAGUUUCCAUUCCCCUGUCAUCUCUAUUACUUAGCUCAAAAACCAAACUAGGGGCAUUAGGAUGCAAUGCCACUAAGGUCUGCAGCCUACCCAUGUUUGGAGGAGGUAGCCAAAUGUCUACCCAUAUUCAGAUUUUGUUUCCAGAUAUCACACUCCACCACCCUGGUUGAGCAGCAAAAUCCCUAGCUUCAAUAAGACUUGACCAACCCCAUGAAGCACGAUACCCUUUUUCAGUAGCCAUGAAAAAUUACAAUUAGGGAAGUAGCGAGCUUUCAACACUUUAGCCCAUAAAGAGUCUGGUUUCAUGAAUUAGGUGUUAUGCCUGUUUGGCAAUGAGCGCUGGAUUUAAAUUGAUGGAGGUAUUGAAAAUUUAAACCUCCCUUGUCUUUAGGAUUACAUACAUGAGCCCAACUCCGCCAAUUAAUCUUUUCUUACUUCCGUAUAACCACACCAGAAGUUCCCUUAUGCCGAAUGGAUAUCAUCACAUACCAAAACAAACCAUAGGAAAGGUAGGAACUGCGGUUGCUACUGAUUUAAUGACUUCUCUUUCCAGCCAUCAAGAUUUCUAGCCACUCUCUCCUUUUCAUACACCAAGGUACUUACCAGGGUUGUGUGUAACAUCAAUGUUUGAUAGUAGACUCAUAAGACGCUGCAUCUGUUCCGGUGUGUUAGGAGAGCAUAAAAUGCUGGAUUUCCCCUUAUUUAAUUAACAGCCCAGAAGCAUAGCAAUACUCAUUGAAAGCUUUUGAUAACCAGUAGCAAUUCUGGAGUGUGGCCUUACAAAGAAUAGAGAAUCAUCUGCGG